UUGUCUCAAAGAUUAAGCCAUGCAUGUCUCAGUACAAGCCAAAUUAAGGUGAAACCGCGAAAGGCUCAUUAAAUCAGUUAUGGUUCCUUAGAUCGUACCCACAUUUACUUGGAUAACUGUGGUAAUUCUAGAGCUAACACAUGCAAACAGAGCUCCAACCGGAAACGGAAGGGGCGCUUUUAUUAGAUCAAAACCAAUCGGUGGCGGUUUCCGUCAUCGUACAACUUGGUGACUCUGAAUAACUUUACGCUGAUCGCACGGUCUCGCACCGGCGACGCAUCUUUCAAAUGUCUGCCUUAUCAACUGUCGAUGGUAGGUUCUGCGCCUACCAUGGUCGUAACGGGUAACGGGGAAUCAGGGUUCGAUUCCGGAGAGGGAGCCUGAGAAACGGCUACCACAUCCAAGGAAGGCAGCAGGCGCGCAAAUUACCCACUCCCGGCACGGGGAGGUAGUGACGAAAAAUAACGAUACGGGACUCAUCCGAGGCCCCGUAAUCGGAAUGAGUACACUCUAAACCCUUUAACGAGGAUCAAUUGGAGGGCAAGUCUGGUGCCAGCAGCCGCGGUAAUUCCAGCUCCAAUAGCGUAUAUUAAAGUUGUUGCGGUUAAAAAGCUCGUAGUCGAAUCUGUGUCCCACGCCGCCGGUUCAUCGUUCGCGGUGUUAACUGGCGUGUCGCGGGACGUCCUGCCGGUGGGCUUAGCUCGAGAGGGCGGUCCAACUCAAUCCCGCCGCGGUGCUCUUCACUGAGUGUCGAGGUGGGCCGGCACGUUUACUUUGAACAAAUUAGAGUGCUUAAAGCAGGCUAAAACUUCGCCUGAAUACUGUGUGCAUGGAAUAAUGGAAUAGGACCUCGGUUCUAUUUUGUUGGUUUUCGGAACCCCGAGGUAAUGAUUAAUAGGAACGGAUGGGGGCAUUCGUAUUGCGACGUUAGAGGUGAAAUUCUUGGAUCGUCGCAAGACGGACAGAAGCGAAAGCAUUUGCCAAAAACGUUUUCAUUGAUCAAGAACGAAAGUUAGAGGUUCGAAGGCGAUCAGAUACCGCCCUAGUUCUAACCAUAAACGAUGCCAGCUAGCGAUCCGCCGACGUUCCUCCGAUGACUCGGCGGGCAGCUUCCGGGAAACCAAAGCUUUUGGGUUCCGGGGGAAGUAUGGUUGCAAAGCUGAAACUUAAAGGAAUUGACGGAAGGGCACCACCAGGAGUGGAGCCUGCGGCUUAAUU
rnacentral:rRNA from 1 species